UACGAAGGGGGCUAGCGUUGUUCGGAAUCACUGGGCGUAAAGCGCACGUAGGCGGAUCUUUAAGUCAGGGGUGAAAUCCCGAGGCUCAACCUCGGAGCUGCCUUUGAUACUGGCGAUCUCGAGUCCGGGAGAGGUGAGUGGAACUGCGAGUGUAGAGGUGAAAUUCGUAGAUAUUCGCAAGAACACCAGUGGCGAAGGCGGCUCACUGGCCCGGUACUGACGCUGAGACGCGAAAGCGUGGGGAGCAAACAGG
rnacentral:rRNA from 1 species